GAUCCAGGGAAACGUUUCAUCGCAGACUCGAGUACGGAGACCAGUGUAUGGAAAUGCUUCUGCUACAGU
rnacentral:pre_miRNA from 1 species